ensembl:lncRNA
UAUACAGUACUGGAUUGAAUCCCAGGCUGUGUGUAUCUAUACAGUAUUGGAUUGAAUCCCAGCCUGUGUGUGUCUAUACAGUAUUGGAUUGAAUCCCAGGCUGUGUGUGUCUAUACAGUAUUGGACUGAAUCCCAGGCUGUGUGUCUAUACAGUAUUGGAUUGAAUCCCAACCUAUGUGUGUCUAUACAGUAUUGGAUUGAAUCCCAGCCUAUGUGUCUGUACAGUAAUGGAUUGAAUCCCAGCCUAUGUGUCUAUGUCUGUACAGUGUUGGAUUGAAUCCCAGUCUGUGUGUCUAUACAGUAUUGGAUUAAAUCCCAGCCUGUGUGUGUCUAUACAGUAUUGGAUUGAAUCCCAGCCUAUGUGUCUGUCUGUACAGUAUUGGAUUGAAUCCCAGCCUAUGUGUCUGUCUGUACAGUAUUGGUUUGAAUCCCAGCCUGUGUGUGUCUAUACAGUAUUGGAUUGAAUCCCAGCCUAUGUGUCUGUCUGUACAGUAUUGGAUUGAAUCCCAGUCUGUGUGUCUGUCUAUACAGUAUUGGAUUGAAUCCCAGCCUGUCUGUCUGUCUAUACAGUAUUGGAUUGUAUCCCAACCUAUGUGUCUAUACAGUAUUGGAUUGAAUCCCAGCCUAUGUGUCUGUACAGUAUUGGAUUGAAUCCCAGCCUAUGUGUCUAUACAGUAUUGGAUUGAAUCCCAACCUAUGUGUGUCUAUACAGUUGACCAUCAUUUCUCAUGUUGAUAGUGGAGUCUCUUCUGGUUCUAAAGUACAGUUGUGUUCUAAUACAGUAUAAUGGAACCCUUCUACUUCACAAUGGGAGUGUAACAAUGGAGCAGAACGUUCUGUUUUCUCUUUUCCAAACUGGUUGAAAGACUAUUUAACCCUGUAACCCAGCAACACGUCUGGCUGAUACUAACUCACAGUCCUGCUGACUUCAGUCUUGAAAGACUAUUUAACCCUGUAACCCAGCAACACGUCUGGCUGAUACUAACUCACAGUCCUGCUGACUUCAGUCUUGAAAGACUAUUUAACCCUGUAACCCAGCAACACGUCUGGCUGAUACUAACUCACAGUCCUGCUGACUUCAGUCUUGAAAGACUAUUUAACCCUGUAACCCAGCAACAA